GGCCGAUCAAGAUAUCUAGACAAGAAAUGCAAUUUAAAAUAUCCAGAUACAAUUGCAAGACUGAUAUAAUGAAGUGACCGGACAGCAUUUCAGGUCCUCGCACAGAGCAGCUCGAUCUCCUGGUCCAGUGCUGCUGGAGGAAGAGGAGGAGGAAGAGGAGGAGGCGGCUUUCCUCAGCUCUGCGGUUGUGUAACGACACUCGAGGCAUCAAAACAACAUCGAUGACAAGGCUCGUUAUCACGUGAGGGGUCUUUUUUAACACUCAGAUAAACAGCAGCUGUUGACAGGGGGCGCCCAGAAUGUAGUUUAAAUGAAUUAUAAACCGGACAUGAUAACGUUUCGGUCACAUCAAGCCUUACCGUGUGUGCGCCUCCAUCGUCGGUGCGCUGCGUUUCCCCGUAGUUCCCACGCCACAGCGUCCUGAAGCGAUGCUACGGUGUCGGCUAAUUGAAAUCUUAAUAGGCCACCGAGGACUCACACGGACACACGGUCCAGCGCAGUGCCAUCCUCCUACCGCAGAGCAGCGAGCAGCGGCGGAACCUCAUCACCCAACCAAGAGCAGCGCGCGAGCCCCGUUUAAGGGCGCUGGCUUCAUUAAAAACCGGCCGGGUUACGUCUCUCGGAGAGCGACGCAGCAGCCGUCGGUUCCACGGAGAUAAGCGGCGGCAUCAACCGCGAGGAGUCACCGGGAAUGGCUGUCCUUCUCGAGCUCCAGACGAGCACGAGGAGUGACGAACCAAUCACGUGGCGGAUGGGAGGUGAUGGACAGCGUGUGAGCCAAUCAGAGGUAGGAUACCGCGACUCCCGUCAGAAGAACAGCGGAGGCAGCAAAUCAGCGCAAAGGUUUAUUCCGGUGGAGGGCGGUUACCGCAGGUGAGGAGCUUUGCUGGUCAGAACGGAAGAUAAAGCGGAAUUUCAUGAGGAAAUCUGACGCUAUUACUGACUUAUCAAUUCAGAGCUUGUAGCAUGGCUUGUCAUGAUCAACUAUUUAGCAAAGUGUUGCAUGGGGGAGAAUAAUGCCAUUGGAGUGGAUACGUAAUUAACAUGUAAUAGAAUUUACGUGGAUAUUUACGUAGCGCUGCAACACCAACAGCAAUAAUAUAAUCAUCAGAAUUCUGUCCAUCCACCUGUCUAUGAAUUAAUUCAUAUUUUCAAGAAUAC